rnacentral:rRNA from 1 species
AACGAACGCUGGCGGCAUGCUUAACACAUGCAAGUCGAACGAGACCUUCGGGUCUAGUGGCGCACGGGUGCGUAAGGCGUGGGAACCUGCCCUUAGGUUCGGAAUCACUCCCCGAAAGGUGUGCUAAUACCGGUUAAUGUCUUAGGACCUAAGAGUUCUCGCUUUUGGAUGGGGCCUCGUUGGUUUAGGUAGUUGGUAGGGUAAAAGCCUACCAAGGCGACGAUCCAUGGCUGGUCUGUGAGGAUGAUCAGCCGCGCUGGCGCUGAGGCACGGCCCAGACUCGGACGGGGGGCAGCAGUAGGGAGUAUUGGGCGAGGGGCGAAAGUCUGGUCCAGCAGUGCCGCGUGUGUGAUGAAGGCCUUAGUGUUGUAAAGCUCUUUUACCCGGGAUGAUAAUGACAGUACCGGGAAAAUAAGCACCGGCUAACUCCGUG